UGAAUCCUCUUUUGUUUUUCAUUCCGCGGCAACUCCAACUGCAUCAGCCCUAAUCAAAUCCAACGUUCUAUUUCAUUUCUCCGCUGCCAGUCAAGACUCCGCCACCCAUCAGCCACCGAUCCGCCUGAGGCUCGAGCUCCUCUUCCCCCCAAGCCUUAGAUUGCUUUUUCGACAAGCUAACCUUCCACCGAUUGCUUUCAUCGACGGCGCCGACCUCUUCGAGAAAUCCGGGCCGAACUCGAAUCCCCAAUCUGCAAGGUUGUAAUCCAUUUCGAAAUAGGUCCAGAAGUGGAAGUAUUGGCUGAAGUUCUUCUUCCAUCUGCUUCAGAAAGUUUAGAGGUAAAUUCACUUCUGCUCUCACUUGAAUCUUUUCAUGACUCAUGUAAUUUUUGUAAUCUUUUCAUACAGCCUGCAUAAUGUUGAUAACGACUUCAAUUUAGAUUCUUUGAUAAUGAAAUGUUCAUCAGAAUAGGAGCCACUAGAAAUGAAAUACAACGUUCAUCAGAAUUUUCAAACUUUGAUGCAGGACAUGAAAUAGAACGUUGAUGCAGGACACCGAAUCAUGUUCAUCAGAAUAGGAGCCACUAGAAAUGAUAACGAAUCAAAAAAGACAGUAACAGUCUUUGCAACAAACAAGGCAAUGAAUACAAUUCCUAAAUUAAGUUAUCAUAUAGGACAGAUGCAUAUCAUAACAAUUAGCAAAAUCUUAAUCACUGUUAAUCACUUGUGCAGAAAAGUUACAAAUGAAUAUAUGGCAAAAGUUUGUUCCUGGGGAUAACAUUCCCCUUAUUAGCAUUCCCUAGGCGUCUAAAGACUCAUUUCUGAAAGAGGCUAGCAAAGUCAUAUAAUGUUUCACUAAAGUUUCACUAAUCUUUAAUUGCAUGCUUUUCUUGCCACUGUGUCUUGUUCUGAACUUCUGACUGAUUCAUAAAGUAAUGAUGUCAGGACAUCUUGAGCUUACUGCUCAGUAAGGAUCACUAUGCAUUUAGGACAAUCUUUUGAGGAAAAUCAAUUUUUUUCCUGGAUUGAUGCAGAUUAUUCUUUUUUACAGGAAAGUCGCUAUGUUCAGUAUUUGCUAUUCGACAUUAUAGAAUUCUGAAAUUGGAGUAAUCAAUUAUAGUUACGAAAAGUUUGUGGAGGUUGAUUCUCUAUUUUGAUUUAUAACUAUUGCUUCAGUUGAUCAGGUAGUUGUUUGUCAUUUAUAAACUGCUCUUUGCAACAAAUGCUACUUGUUUGUUGUAGCCUAGCCUUUUAUGGGACAUUCUACUUGCAUAAAUCUUUGUCUCAGUGGCCAAGUAUUCCUAAUGUUUCACUUCCUGCCCAAAAUUCUUUUUUCAUUUUUAUUGUCUUUAGCGGUUAGAAGCUUUAUUGUUGGUACAUGAGGUUUUCUUUGGUUCCUCAGAUAAGUUCAUGAUUCGGGCAUUUGAUAUUUUGUCAUGUAUGCUACAGAUUGGCAUAUCUUCACAUCAUCCAAAUUUUCAAACUUUGAUGCAG
rnacentral:lncRNA from 1 species